UCGCCUCCCUAAUCGUCCUGUGCCACCACCGUUUAAUUCCCACCUCACGUUUGGCUGACCGCGUGAGAGAAGGACUAAAGAGGGCCCUCUGCUAAUCCAGUCUUUCACCCCCCGCCCCCCUACAGCAAACCGUUCGCGACUAAUUCCACAGAACCAUCUGUCACCAAAUUUGUCUGAAAUAUUCCAUUUAUUUGCAUAACACAUGACACGUACACAGACAAUCACAUUCCUUUUCAAAUAGAGAGAAACACUCAGCAAUUGAACUGAAAACAUAUGAAACUAAAUCAAGUCGCUGAUGAUGUAGUGGUCCACUCGCCUGACUUUUGAGCGAGCAGCGUGGGAUCGAUUCCCGCACUCAAGCUACUGUGUGAAUG